rnacentral:rRNA from 1 species
UAUUGGUCAAUGGGCGAGAGCCUGAACCAGCCCAGUCGCGUGAAGGAUGAAGGAUCUAUGGUUUGUAAACUUCUUUUAUAUGGGCAUAAAGUGAGGAACGUGUUCCUUUUUGUAUGUACCAGAUGAAUAAGCAUCGGCUAACUCCGUGCCAGCAGCCGCGGUAAUACGGAGGAUGCGAGCGUUAUCCGGAUUUAUGGGGUUUACAGGGUGCGUAGGUGUUUAAUUAAGUCAGCGGUGAAAGUUUGUGGCUCAACCAUAAAAUUGCCGUUGAAACUGGUUGACUUGAGUAUAUUUGAGGGAGGCGGAAUGCGUGGUGUAGCGGUGAAAUGCAUAGAUAUCACGCAGAACUCCGAUUGCGAAGGCAGCUUACUAAACUAUAACUGACACUGAAGCACGAAAGCGUGGGGAUCAAACAGG